rnacentral:rRNA from 1 species
UACGGAGGGGACUAGCGUUGUUCGGAAUUACUGGGCGUAAAGCGCACGUAGGCGGAUUUGUAAGUCAGGGUGAAAUCCCGGGGCUCAACCUCGGAACUGCCUUUGAUACUGCAAAUCUCGAGUCCGGAAGAGGUGAGUGGAAUUCCUAGUGUAGAGGUGAAAUUCGUAGAUAUUAGGAAGAACACCAGUGGCGAAGGCGGCUCACUGGUCCGGUACUGACGCUGAGGUGCGAAAGCGUGGGGAGCAAACAGGG